GACGAGUGGCGAACGGGUGAGUAAUGUAUCGGAACGUGCCCAGUAGUGGGGGAUAACUACUCGAAAGAGUGGCUAAUACCGCAUGAGAACUGAGGUUGAAAGCGGGGGACCUUCGGGCCUCGCGCUACUGGAGCGGCCGAUAUCAGAUUAGGUAGUUGGUGGGGUAAAGGCCUACCAAGCCGACGAUCUGUAGCUGGUCUGAGAGGACGACCAGCCACACUGGGACUGAGACACGGCCCAGACUCCUACGGGAGGCAGCAGUGGGGAAUUUUGGACAAUGGACGCAAGUCUGAUCCAGCAAUGCCGCGUGCAGGACGAAGGCCUUCGGGUUGUAAACUGCUUUUGUACAGAACGAAAAGGCUCUGGUUAAUACCUGGGGCUCAUGACGGUACUGUAAGAAUAAGCACCGGCUAACUACGUGCCAGCAGCCGCGGUAAUACGUAGGGUGCGAGCGUUAAUCGGAAUUACUGGGCGUAAAGCGUGCGCAGGCGGUUUUGUAAGACCGAUGUGAAAUCCCCGGGCUCAACCUGGGAACUGCAUUGGUGACUGCAAGGCUGGAGUGCGGCAGAGGGGGAUGGAAUUCCGCGUGUAGCAGUGAAAUGCGUAGAUAUGCGGAGGAACACCGAUGGCGAAGGCAAUCCCCUGGGCCUGCACUGACGCUCAUGCACGAAAGCGUGGGGGAGCAAACAGGAUUAAGAUACCCUGGUAGUCCACGCCCUAAACGAUGUCACUGGUUGUUGGGUACUUGCUUACUCAGUAACGAAGCUAACGCGUGAAGUUGACCGCCUGGGGAGUACUGCUGCAAGGUUGAAAUUCAAAGGAAUUGACGGGGACCCGCACAAGCUGGUGGAUGAUGUGGUUUUAAUUCGAUGCAACGCGAAAAACCUUACCCACCUUUGACAUGGCAGGAAUUCCGAAGAGAUUUGGAAGUGCUUGAAAGAGAACCUGCACACAGGUGCUGCAUGGCUGUCGUCAGCUCGUGUCGUGAGAUGUUGGGUUAAGUCCCGCAACGAGCGCAACCCUUGCCAUUAGUUGCUACGAAAGGGCACUCUAAUGGGACUGCCGGUGACAAACCGGAGGAAGGUGGGGAUGACGUCAAGUCCUCAUGGCCCUUAUAGGUGGGGCUACACACGUCAUACAAUGGCCGGUACAAAGGGUAGCCAACCCGCGAGGGGGAGCCAAUCCCAUAAAGCCGGUCGUAGUCCGGAUCGCAGUCUGCAACUCGACUGCGUGAAGUCGGAAUCGCUAGUAAUCGUGGAUCAGCAUGUCACGGUGAAUACGUUCCCGGGUCUUGUACACACCGCCCGUCACACCUUGGGAGCGGGUUUUGCCUGAAG
rnacentral:rRNA from 1 species